rnacentral:misc_RNA from 1 species
AUUUUUUAAAAGUCCCAAGGUAGGAGGAUUCUCGUUAUCUUCUAGUUGGGAGGAGUGAGAAUUAGGGUUAAGAUUUUUCAAAUCAAUGAGUGCUCCUUGUUGGAAUCGGUGAGUGAGAAAGGGAAAUUUCUAAAAAAGAUCUUUUAUAUUAAUAUUUUCCAUAUCUUUAGGGAAAGAUAUUCAUUGAGCUUCUAUGGCAAUUCAUUUUCAGGAAAUAAAUAUGCUAUUGUGGGUUUAGAAGUUGAGGGUUUGUGGAAAUGGAAAUUUUCAUAUUCAUGCUGAAAAUGGAAAUUUUCGGCAUUUGGUGGUUCCUUCUCUGUUACUCUCCCAUCAUCACUUCGCCGAACAUGGGAAGAAGGAAUUAUGGAUUUUUCCAGUGGAUUGUGAGGUUUCGCGGUUUGGUUGGUGCUUGUUUUACAUAUUGGUGUUUCAACCUGGAUGUAAAGGGGACAAUCAGGUCUUAUGGCUGGUGGCUCAAGCAGGAGACAAGAGUUUUUGGUCGUAUUGGCUUGCUGUCGUUGAAUUUCAUGUGGUAGGCCUUGCCUGUGGCCAAAGGAGUUACCAGGGGUGGAUGAUGUCCCUCUACUGCUCCAACGCACUUGUUGUGGAGCUGACAACGUUUCUUGGCUCAGUUUCUUCUUCGAAUUGUGAAACAGAGGCACUUUUAGCCAAGGCCCAAACAUUGAUUUUGUUGUUCCCGAUUGUUCUUGCUCUGCACCAACUUCUAUGUUCUUAUUCUGCACCAGCUUCUAUGUUCUUGUUUUGCACCAGCUUUCAUGUUCUUGCAGUCCCUUCCAAUAUGACCAAUCAGUCUGCAGCUGUAGCAUACAUCAGGCAAUUUCUCAUAUUUCAGCUGUAUCGAAUCUAUUGUAUCAUCCAUUUUGCUGUUAUAAAACCCUGGUUUGAUGGGCAGGUUUAGCGGUAUUUCUGCUCUGAUUCUCAAAAGCAUACUGUAACCUAUUGCUCUAUCUCGAGUUAAAUCCACUUCAAGAUAUUUGCAAAACAAAUCAUUUUCGCAUUUUAUGGGUUCAUUUGAUUGGGAGACAGCCCAUGGGCUUGAAUCCAAAUCGGGGUAGUGUUGAAGCUGAG